UCGUAGGUGGUUUGUCGCGUUGUUCGUGAAAUCUCACGGCUUAACUGUGAGCGUGCGGGCGAUACGGGCAGACUUGAGUACUGCAGGGGAGACUGGAAUCCCUGGUGUAGCGGUGGAAUGCGCAGAUAUCAGGAGGAACACCGGUGGCGAAGGCGGGUCUCUGGGCAGUAACUGACGCUGAGGAGCGAAAGCGUGGGGAGCGAACAGGAUUAGAUACCCUGGUAGUCCACGCCGUAAACGGUGGGUACUAGGUGUGGGUUUCCUUCCUUGGGAUCCGUGCCGUAGCUAACGCAUUAAGUACCCCGCCUGGGGAGUACGGCCGCAAGGCUAAAACUCAAAGAAAUUGACGGGGGCCCGCACAAGCGGCGGAGCAUGUGGAUUAAUUCGAUGCAACGCGAAGAACCUUACCAGGGUUUGACAUGCACAGGACGCCGGCAGAGAUGUCGGUUCCCUUGUGGCCUGUGUGCAGGUGGUGCAUGGCUGUCGUCAGCUCGUGUCGUGAGAUGUUGGGUUAAGUCCCGCAACGAGCGCAACCCUUGUCUCAUGUUGCCAGCGGGUAAUGCCGGGGACUCGUGAGAGACUGCCGGGGUCAACUCGGAGGAAGGUGGGGAUGACGUCAAGUCAUCAUGCCCCUUAUGUCCAGGGCUUCACACAUGCUACAAUGGCCGGUACAAAGGGCUGCGAUGCCGCGAGGUUAAGCGAAUCCUUUUAAAGCCGGUCUCAGUUCGGAUCGGGGUCUGCAACUCGACCCCGUGAAGUCGGAGUCGCUAGUAAUCGCAGAUCAGCAACGCU
rnacentral:rRNA from 1 species